UAGGGAAUCUUCCGCAAUGGACGCAAGUCUGACGGAGCAACGCCGCGUGAGUGAAGAAGGUUUUCGGAUCGUAAAGCUCUGUUGUUAAGGAAGAACGAGUGUGAGAAUGGAAAGUUCAUGCUGUGACGGUACUUAACCAGAAAGGGACGGCUAACUACGUGCCAGCAGCCGCGGUAAUACGUAGGUCCCGAGCGUUGUCCGGAUUUAUUGGGCGUAAAGCGAGCGCAGGCGGUUAGAAAAGUCUGAAGUGAAAGGCAGUGGCUCAACCAUUGUAGGCUUUGGAAACUGUUUAACCUGAGUGCAGAAGGGGAGGGUGGAAUUCCAUGUGUAGCGGUGAAAUGCGUAGAUAUAUGGAGGAACACCGGUGGCGAAAGCGGCUCUCUGGUCUGUAACUGACGCUGAGGCUCGAAAGCGUGGGGAGCGAACAGG
rnacentral:rRNA from 1 species